CAGCACGGGGGUAACCCUGGUGGCGAGUGGCGAACGGGUGAGGAAUGCACCGGAACGUGUCUUCAAGUGGGGGAUAACGCAUCGAAAGGUGUGCUAAUACCGCAUAAUCUCUGAGGAGAAAAGCAGGGGAUCGCAAGACCUUGCGCUUUUGGAGCGGCCGAUGCCUGAUUAGCUUGUUGGUGAGGUAAAAGCUCACCAAGGCUUCGAUCAGUAGCUGGUCUGAGAGGACGACCAGCCACACUGGGACUGAGACACGGCCCAGACUCCUACGGGAGGCAGCAGUGGGGAAUUUUGGACAAUGGGGGCAACCCUGAUCCAGCCAUGCCGCGUGAGUGAAGAAGGCCUUCGGGUUGUAAAGCUCUUUCAGCCGGAACGAAACGGUUACGGUUAAUACCCGUGACUACUGACGGUACCGGAAGAAGAAGCACCGGCUAACUACGUGCCAGCAGCCGCGGUAAUACGUAGGGUGCAAGCGUUAAUCGGAAUUACUGGGCGUAAAGCGUGCGCAGGUGGUUUUGUAAGUCAGAUGUGAAAUCCCCGGGCUUAACCUGGGAACUGCGUUUGAAACUGCAAAGCUAGAGUGUGGCAGAGGGGGGUGGAAUUCCGCGUGUAGCAGUGAAAUGCGUAGAUAUGUGGAGGAACACCGAUGGCGAAGGCAGCCCCCUGGGUCAGCACUGACGCUCAGGCACGAAAGCAUGGGGAGCAAACAGGAUUAGAUACCCUGGUAGUCCAUGCCCUAAA
rnacentral:rRNA from 1 species